CCGCACUCUAUAUGACAAUAAGUGUAUUAUAUAGUAACAAAACCGAAAUCGAAUUUUUACGCCGUUCCUCCCACGACCGUGCGGUGUCGCGGUCCACAGAAUCGUUUUGUAUAGACACCUUCACAUUUAUAUAUGUGUAUAUUGUAUACACUAUACAGGAUGUGCAUAACGUAUAUACUAUGUUAUAUAGUCUUGUCGGUCGUCAAAGGCCCAGGAAAGUUGUUUUUCGGCUAUAACCCGCAAAAGCUUUCCCGAAACGCCGCGGCAGACUCCGCAUGGUAUUAGUGGAAAACGUAAUCGAAUCGCACGCGAGUGUACACUGCACAUAAUAACAUAAACGAAUCCUACAGUGAAAAACGAGUUGGAGGGGGGAGGUCAAGAGGAGGGAAACGAAAUCCCUAGUCGACGAAUAAUCCCGGCGACGGCAGCAUGGAGGCAAAAUAAAAAAAAAAAACCUACAGCAGCCGACACAGGGUGUACACAAAUAUAUAGUACGACACGCUAUUUAUGUAUAAUGCAAUGCACUGUGAUGACUCUCUCCCCUCCUCCUCUUCCGUUUCAAAUCUCGAAAUCGAAAAGGAUAUUUUUUGAAAAUGUUGAGAUUAACUCUUGUACGUAAUCCGUCGGUUUUUGAACUUUUUUUUAUUUAAAAAAAUGCGAAAUGCAAGUACGUAAACAGACAUCA